AUCGUAAUUGAAGAGGUUUGGAAAGACCCACCACAGAAGGUAAUAGUCCUGUAUGUUAAACGAGAAGACUUUAGAUAUGAUCCAGAGUACCACGGGACACGUGAAACCCUGUGGGAAGCAGGAGGGACCACCCUCCAAGGCUAAAUACUACCUAGUGACCGAUAGCGUAUAGUACCGUGAGGGAAAGGUGAAAAGAACCCCGGGAGGGGAGUGAAAUAGAACCUGAAACCCUGCACUUACAAGCUGUGGAAGCACAUUUCUUGUGUGACCGCGUACUUUUUGUAGAACGGGCCAACGAGUUACGUUAAGUAGCAAGGUUAAGCACUUAAGGUGCGGAGCCGUAGCGAAAGCGAGUUUUAACUGAGCGUUCAGUUACUUGACGUAGACCCGAAACCGGGCGACCUACCCAUGAGCAGGAUGAAGCGAAAGUAAAAUUUCGUGGAGGUCCGAACCCACGAGCGUUGAAAAGCUCGGGGAUGACUUGUGGGUAGCGGUGAAAUUCCAAUCGAGCCCGGAGAUAGCUGGUUCUCCCCGAAAUAGCUUUAGGGCUAGCCUCAAGGUGAGAGAUACGGAGGUAGAGCACUGAAUGUCCUAGGGGGUAUUGCACCUACCGAAGACUAUCAAACUCCGAAUGCCGUCAUCUUAUACUUGGGAGUCAGACUGUGGGUGAUAAGAUUCAUAGUCGAAAGGGCAACAGCCCAGAUCGUCAGCUAAGGUCCCUAAAUGUAAGUUAAGUGGUAAAGGAUGUGGGAUUGCACAGACAACCAGGAUGUUGGCUUAGAAGCAGCCACUCAUUCAAAGAGUGCGUAAUAGCUCACUGGUCGAGUGAUCCUGCGCCGAAGAUUUCCGGGGCUAAAACUUACUACCGAAGCUACGGCAUCAGUAAUGAUGGGUAGGGGAGCUUCCCAUACGGGUUGAAGCAUGACCGUAAGGACAUGUGGACAGUAUGGGAGUGAGAAUGUUGGCAUGAGUAGCGAGAUGUGGGUGAGAAUCCCACAGGCCGUAAACCCAAGGUUUCCAGGGGAAGGUUCGUCCGCCCUGGGUUAGUCGGGACCUAAGCUGAGGCCGAAAGGCGUAGGUGAUGGACAACAGGUUGAUAUUCCUGUACUACCGAUAACCGUUUGAGAGA
rnacentral:rRNA from 1 species